rnacentral:misc_RNA from 1 species
GAUGAAGAACGUAGCGAAAUGCGAUACGUAGUGCGAAUUGCAGAAUUCAGUGAAUCAUCGAAUCUUUGAACGCACAUUGCACCUCUCGGUAUUCCGGGAGGUAUGCCUGUUCGAGCGUCAUUUGUACCCUCAAGCUCUGCUUGGUGUUGGGUGUUUGUUCCGCCUCUGUGUGUGAACUCGCCUCAAAACAAUUGGCAGCCGGCGUACUUGUUUCGGAGCGCAGCACAUUUUGCGAUCCAGAUCAACGUACAGCGGCAUCCAAGAAGCCUUAUUUAACGCUCUUGACCUCGGAUCAGGUAGGGAUACCCGCUGAACUUAAGCAUAUCAAUAAGCGGAGGA